rnacentral:tRNA from 1 species
CUCCCUGUGGCUCAGUUGGUAGAGCAUGGUGUUUGCAAUGCCAGGGUUGUGGGUUCGAUUCCCACGGGGGGA